rnacentral:rRNA from 1 species
CCUCGCAUUAUUUGACGUUACCUACAGAAGAAGCACCGGCUAACUCCGUGCCAGCAGCCGCGGUAAUACGGAGGGUGCGAGCGUUAAUCGGAAUUACUGGGCGUAAAGCGCAUGCAGGCGGCCUGUUAAGUCAGAUGUGAAAGACCCGGGGCGUUAACCUCGGAAUUGCAUUUGAAACUGGCAGGCUAGAGUCUUGUAGAGGGGGGUAGGAAUUUCAGGUGUAGCGGUGAAAUGCGUAGAGAUCUGAAGGAAUACCAGUGGCGAAGGCGGCCCCCUGGACAAAGACUGACGCUCAGAUGCGAAAGCGUGGGGAGCAAACAGGAUUAGAUACCCUGGUAG